UGGGGAAUUUUGGACAAUGGGCGCAAGCCUGAUCCAGCAAUGCCGCGUGCAGGAUGAAGGCCUUCGGGUUGUAAACUGCUUUUGUACGGAACGAAAAGCCUCUCUCUAAUACAGGGGGUAAUGACGGUACCGUAAGAAUAAGCACCGGCUAACUACGUGCCAGCAGCCGCGGUAAUACGUAGGGUGCAAGCGUUAAUCGGAAUUACUGGGCGUAAAGCGUGCGCAGGCGGUUUUGUAAGACAGUGGUGAAAUCCCCGGGCUCAACCUGGGAACUGCCAUUGUGACUGCAAGGCUGGAGUGCGGCAGAGGGGGAUGGAAUUCCGCGUGUAGCAGUGAAAUGCGUAGAUAUGCGGAGGAACACCGAUGGCGAAGGCAAUCCCCUGGGCCUGCACUGACGCUCAUGCACGAAAAGCGUGGGGAGCAAACAGGAUUAGAUACCCUGGUAGUCCACGCCCUAAACGAUGUCAACUGGUUGUUGGGGAUUUAUUUCUUCAGUAACGAAGCUAACGCGUGAAGUUGACCGCCUGGGGAGUACGGCCGCAAGGUUAAAAACUUAAAGGAAUUGACGGGGUCAUAGCUGUUUCCU
rnacentral:rRNA from 1 species